GACAUCAAGAAGUCCUACAGGUAACACUAUACCAGGACAUCAAGAUGUCCUACAGGUAACACUAUACCAGGACAUCAAGAAGUCCUACAGGUAACACUAUACCAGGACAUCAAGAUGUCCUACAGGUAACACUAUACCAGGACAUCAAGAAGUCCUACAGGUAACACUAUACCAGGACAUCAAGAAGUCCUACAGGUAACACUAUACACCACUAUACCAGGACAUCAAGAUGUCCUACAGGUAACACUAUACACCACUAGACCAGGACAUCAAGAAGUCCUACAGGUAACACUAUACACCACUAGACCAGGACAUCAAGAAGUCCUACAGGUAACACUAUACACCACUAGACCAGGACAUCAAGAAGUCCUACAGGUAACACUAUACACCACUAGACCAGGACAUCAAGAUGUCCUACAGGUAACACUAUACACCACUAUACCAGGACAUCAAGAAGUCAUACAGGUAACACUAUACACCACUAGACCAGGACAUCAAGAUGUCCUACAGGUAACAUUAUACCAGGACAUCAAGAUGUCCUACAGGUAACACUAUACACCACUAUACCAGGACAUCAAGAUGUCCUACAGGUAACACUAUACACCACUAUACCAGGACAUCAAGAUGUCCUACAGGUAACACUAUACCAGGACAUCAAGAUGUCCUACAGGUAACACUAUACACCACUAUACCAGGACAUCAAGAAGUCCUACAGGUAACACUAUACCAGGACAUCAAGAAGUCCUACAGGUAACACUAUACCAGGACAUCAAGUUGUCCUACAGGUAACAUUAUACACCACUAGACCACUAGACAACACCUGAACUCUACCUGGUCCUGGGGGGGGGGAAAGGAAAAACACCAUAGAAAGACCAAAACCUAGAGAGGAACCAGGCUCUGAGGGGUGGCCAGUCCUCUUCUGGCUGUGCUGGGUGGAGAUUAUAACAGUACAUGGCCAAGAUGUUCAAACGUUCAUAAAUGACCAGCAGGGUCAAAUAAUAAUAAUCACAGUGGUUGUAGAGGGUGCAGCAAGUCAGCACCUCAGGAGUAAAUGUCAGUUGGCUUUUCAUAGCUGAUCAUUCAGAGUAUCUCUACCGCUCCUGCUGCCUCUAGAGAGUUGAAAACAGCAGGUCUGGGACAGGUAGCACGUCUGGUGAACAGGUCAGGGUUCCAUAGCCGCAGGCAGAACAGUUGAAACUGGAGCAGCAGCACGGCCAGGUGGACUGGGGACAGCAAGGAGUCAUCAUGCCAGGUAGUCCUGAGGCAUGGUCCUAGGGCUCAGGUCCUUCGAGAGAGAGAGAAAGAAAGAAAGAAAGAGUGAGAAUUAGAGAGAGCAUACUUAAAUUCACACAGGACACUGGAUAGGACAGGAGAAGUAUUCCAGAUACAACAGACUGACCCUAGCCCCCCGACACAAACUACUGCAGCAUAAAUACUGGAAGCUGAGACAGCAGGGGUCAGGAGACACUGGCUCCACUGAGGACACCCCC